rnacentral:lncRNA from 10 species
CGCGGCUCCCGCGGCGCCUCCCGGGUUUCCGCGUCCAAGGCGCUCCGGCGCGCAGUUCCGGAGUGGAGGGAGGAAGUCCAAUCCUGCGCCAGGCUCCCUCCCUCCCGCCUCUCCGCGCUCUCAGGGGGAACUCGGGAGAGCUGCCGUCCCUGACCUCGACCUGAGACGUGGAGGAGGGACAGGGAAAAAGCCUUCUUCUCGCAGCUGCAGGUUGCCCCACCGAGGGCAUUUUUCCGCACCGAGGGGGCGGGGGGCAGAAUGCACGCCAGAAAACCUAAGUGCGCUGGGUUUAAAAUAGCAACAACAACAAAAAUUACAAAUAACCAAAAAACAGCAUAAGAAUUAAAAACAGUUAUAUUCCAAUGUUUUUAAUACUUGGUUCACAUUUUGGAUGCUCUCCCCAGGGAUCCGACGGCGCUGCGGAGGCGGCAGCGAUGUUUGGGAUCCUAAAGAAAGCAUCAGACCAGACUCAGGUCUGGACGUCCCUCAAGUGGCCCGGAGGUACCGAUAUUAGUGUCACCGCCGUCAGUGCCCUGCCCAGAAAUAAAACCUUUGUUCUGAGAGAAAUUGAAAAGCUGGAAAAUAUGGAGUAGGCGAUGUGAAGAGAAACUACAGGGAAUGUAGAGGUCGGGUUUUAAAUGCGUAUUUCCUCAAGGAUGUUGUGGAAGCAGAGACAAGGUGGCUGGCCUGGAGCAGGCUGGAGGACCUCCAAGGAUCUCCACAGGGAGGCAGUUACAUUUAACACCCUACCUAGCAAAAGAAGAAAAGAACAACCCCAUGAAAACAUCCCUGGGGUUUUAACAAAGGAAUCCCUGACAAAACGUGACUGAUAACUAGGACAGAACUGAAAAGUGGAAGUAAAGUCAAUCCCGACCCCCCAGGACGCCUGGGAACUCAGGGAAGCGCCUCCAGAAGGGAACAGCUCAGAAACCCUGACCAGACCUGGCGGACAAGAACCGUGUGGGCGGGGGACAGGAACGCCCACCCAGAGGCCGGGAGAGCAUGGUCCAGGACUGGCAGCCACUAACAGCCUCUGAAUGAAACUGAGGAAGGAAGUCAAUGGUAAUCGGGACCAUUAGGGUGCACCAGGGCAUAUAGAACAGUCGGGGACGGUAAGAAAACAUUCCUUCCAGAGACAUUCACUGGCACCUCCCGCGCAGACACACUGCCAGGCCCGGGAAUCGCAGAGAUGAACUGGGAGACUUGUCUGCCCUGGAGAACUCACAGCUGUUGAGCAGCAAAUCUCUUCAACCUUUCGGAGAUGGACUGCAUUUCCUACCAAGACCCUGGCUGAUAGCAGAGUGACCCCAGGAAACACAGUUCCUCAAUUGUGGGAUUCUGGCUGGGUUACCCACAGAUUCGUGCGUGCAUAGCGAACAAAAGGGAUGCUAGUAACCCGUGGCAUGGAGGGGCAGCAGGAUUACUCCAGUUAGCACUGGGAAUAGUGUGAGGGGCAUAUGGACCACAAAGCUUUGGGGGCUUUUGCUGCUGUUGCUCUUGAUUGCUAUGGCAACAGUAAUAAUUAUAAAGAUUGUAGAGUGAAAUGGAUGUUUCUGACUGCCCUGGAGAGUUUUUAAACAAUGGAAGAGAUAAACAUGAAGUAUUAAAUUCUUAUUUUAAGGUACAGAUAUGCUGAAAUCCAAAGAACCAUUUAUCUGGGAUAGGCACAGGACAGAAUAAGUUCAUCUUCAGAUACUAAAUAUAAUUGUACAGAUUACAGAAUUGUGGCAAAGGUUAAGUGCUCAACCUCAGCAAGUUCUCUUGCUAAGAUUAGGACACUGAUUGGGAAGGAGUAGGACCAUAGACUUGUGAUAGGAACAUUUGGACAGACACAGACAAAGCCGAAUUCCCAAAUCUCAAGGCUCCCUUGUAUACAGAAGCAGCCCCGCCUCCCCUGUGCAAGGAAAUUAGCCUUCACAUACACUAAGAGCUUUCAAGACUUCACUGGGGCCUCUGCCUCCCACAUGGAUGCCUGUUCUCCUCCAAACUUGCCCCUGAUGCACCUCAUUGACUCCAGGAGCAUAACAAGAAUAAACUCUCUACAGAGCCCAGAAGGAGAAAUGCAAGGUCAGCCAGAGAAGAGGAGGAUGGAAAUAGAUUAUAUACCACGAAAGCUGGAAAAUCUUGCCAAUAUGUGUUGCAGAGAAGCUGAGAACUGUGUAUGGGAAUGGAUUCUAAAGUGUUAGACUAAGGAGGAUGAAAUACUAGGUUAGGCCAGGCAUGGUGGCUCACACCUAUAUUCCCAGCACUUUGGAAGGCAGAGACAGGAGGAUAGCUUGAGGCCAGGAGUUCAGGACCAGCCUCGGCAACGCGGUGAGACACCGUCUCUACAAAAAAUGUAAAAAUUAGCCACGUGUGGUGGUGCACGCGUGCCUCUGGUCCCAGCUGCUCAAAGGCUGAGGUGGGAGGAUCAUUUGAACCUAGGAGGUCAAGGCUGCAGAGACCUAUAAUGGCACCAUUGCACUUCAGCCUGGUGACAGAGCAAGACCCUGUCUCGAAUAAAAUAUAAAGUAAGAUUCAGCAAAAUUUAUGAAUAUGCAUACAUUCCCCUGGGAUUUAUGAUUUAGUGUGUUAUAUAUUGGAGUGAUUAAAAUGUUUUAGACAACGUGGUGAUGUUUCUUUUCUUUUUUUUUUUUAAUUGCGAUGGAGUCUCGUUCUGUUGCCCAGGCUGGAGUGUGGUGGCAUGAUCUCUGCUCACUGCAACCUCCACCUCCCAGGUUCUCGUGCCUCAGCCUCCUGAGUAGCUGAGACUACAGGCGCACUGCACCACGCCCGGCUAAUUUUUUUGUAUUUUUAGUAGAGAUGGAGUUUUGCCAUGUUGGUGAGAAUGGUCUCAAACUCCUAACCUCAGGUGAUCCACCUGCCUCCGCCUCCCAAAGUUCUGGGAUUACAGGUGUGAGCCACUGCACCCAGCGAUGUUUCUUAAUAUACUAUGAAUAUACAGAAAACGCUGAAUACUUUAUUUUUUUUUUAUUUAUUUUUUGUGAGAUGGAGUCUCGCUCUUGUCGCCCAGGCUGGAGUGCAGUGGCGCGAUCUCAGCUCACUGCAACCUCCACCUC